AGGUUGAGAAGGUUGGAGUGAGGGAUUUGUCCUUUUGUGUUUGGCUGAAGAAGAUGGAGAUGAUGAAAAAGGAGAAGUCUACACCAUGAAGAAUGGGUCUCUGUCUCGGGACCUCUUAACUGCAACAAAUAUUUGAAAGUUUAUAUUUGUGAGACUAUACCCAAAGUGCCUUCACUGCUCAUUACUGCAGCUCUAGGACAACCUUGGAACUUGGUAGGAGCAAAAUCCAGCAGUGUGGUGAUGCUGGGAAGUCAGGCUGAGCUCAGCCAUCCCUCGAGCACGGCAAAGUUUGUGUUCAUCCUGGAAUGCAACAGUGCACCACAUGUUACAGAAAUGGAUUAUCACUUCUGAUUCGUGUAAGUGUCUCCAAGUCAGCCAAGCACGCCAUCCUUCAAACCCACAUCAUUUGUUUUUGGUGGCAAAGCUGUAAUCACCAGUUCCAUCCCUCAGAUGAAAA